GCCACCGCGAAGCCAGCGCCAUUCACCCCGGGCCAUGAGGGCAUCCUGGGCCGCGCAGCUACCUUUUGUCAGUCGCCUCUAAAAUCACACUGCUCUGGCCAGUUCUUUUUAGCAGCUUUAUGAGAUUUUCUCAAAUCUCAACAAUGCGGUUUAUUUUCAAAAGUAUGUACUGAGCAUCAAGUUGGUGCAGCGAACCUCCCAGAUCUGCAGCUCUGGCGGUCUUGUCUGAGCGUCCACUCAGGAUGGAGGUGAACUCGCAAAGUAACCAAGGGUCUUGCUGUGUCACCCAGGCUUACGAACUCCAGGACUUUGAACAGCUGGGACCACAAGCAUGCACCGCCUCACCAGGCUAAUUUUUAGUUUUUUGGGUUUUUUUUUUUUUUUUUUUUUGGUAAAGAUGUGGUCUUGCUAAGUUACUCAGGCUAGUUUGGCCUCAAGCGAUCCUCUCACUUUGGCCUCCCAAAGUGCUAGGAUUAUAGGCUGAGCGACAACGCCUGGCUGCAACGUUUAUAAAAAGGAGCAAUGCACAAGAGGCAACAAAGGCAAGUAAAGGGGAAGCUGGUGGGCUUGCAGAAGUGCCCACUGGGACAGACUCCCUGGAGGUGGGUCAGAAAGCUGCAGUUUUACCAGGGGUCCUGCUGUUGAGGCAGCUGGCUCAAGGACCAAGCCCAAAGAAGACACUGGGAGGAAGGCUGCAGGCCAGGGUGCAGGAGUAACGACCAGAAUCAGUGCUCCAACUGGCCCCACUAAAAGGCCCUGGAAUGGAAUCCAUCCUGGUCCAGGCAGGGGAGUGUGCCUCCAGCAAAGGACCAGGUGUUUCACUGCAUACACAGCAGGUGUUACUUAGUGAAGACAAAAACCCAGAGCCAGAGGUACUGCAACAUUCUUGAUUAUGCAUAAAGUGACAAUUUGUUAGCUGAUGUGAUCCUGCAAAUGAAAGCUGCUACCCACCAAGGAGGGUUUCUCCCUCUGCUAGUAAAACUGAGACUUUGUCAGUGGAGGGUCAGGUAAGUCCCCACAGUGCUCACGCCUUCCAAAACCACGCCUAGUUCCAGUGAUGAUGGUUUGUGCCACAGGCCAAGUACUGAACAUCAUGACACUCAUAGACACUCUUUACUGAAGACAUGUGGAUAGACCCUGGGGCCACCAUCCUCUCCUCUCUGGAGUGUUGGAGGGGCCCUGACCAGGGCAGGAUCCCCAUGCCUAGAAGCAGGGUCAGCCCUGGCUCAUGGGGGACCCCGCUGGGCUUAGCCAUUGCCACCUAGGAAUCAGGCAGCCUUGUUUCUUCCUACUUUCUCCAGAAGAAGCCCCAGAUGGGAAGUUUUCUAAUGGUGAGAUGGAACACGGGGCAUCUGCCAACAGGACUUCCUUCAGUUCUGGUCAGAGGCCCAACCACCAGUCUGUGUUAGUACCUAAUCAAACAUUUAGAUUUAGGCUUUAGUUAUUGCCUGUUUUUACUUGAAAUUCUUGGCUUAGAAUUAUUCCCAAUGGGGCCAGGCACAGUGGCUCAUGGGAACAAAUUUAAAAUAAUCAGAUUAGCAUGUCAAAAGAUCUCACGUUAUAGAAAGUGAAGACCUAAGACCAAAUAAAUACUGAUAAAAAAUAAAGACAGGCCAGCAGAAGCUUGGAUGAUUUAAUAAAUUAAAAUUAGGAGUGGGGGAGUAGGGAAGAAGGAAAGAGAGGAACAUCUCUUUAGCAUUUGUUCAUUCCAACAUUCACAUUUGCUUCUCCAUGGAGUUGUUUCACUAUGAACAGGUUCACUAAGGAGCCAGUUAUGUCCAUAUGAAAUGAGAAUAAAAGUGUAAACUCAUUCAGA